GUAGCUACGACCUCUGCUGUAACUACGACUGCGGCUUCUACCACGGCGAGGGCUUGGUGAACGUGAGUAACUUCCACGCUUCAAUUUCUUAGGACUGUUCUGGCAAUUCUUCUCUAUGUGACCCCUUUCGCCACAUCGAUAACAUUUAUUUUUCCAGUCUCCAGCCUUGCAAUCUCUAGCCCAGUGGCCAUCAAUCCCACAAUUGAAACAACGGCCAGUUCCAGGAGGGCCUCGACCGAGAUAUUCACGAGAUCCACCAGGACCGCGCGGUACCCCUUUAGCUAUUUCCACAAUGAUACGACUUCCAUGAAC
rnacentral:misc_RNA from 1 species